CAGCCGCCGCGGUAAUACAGAGGCCUCAAGCGUUGUUCGGAUUCAUUGGGCGUAAAAGGAGCGUAGGCGGUCGGGUAAGUCGGAUGUGAAAUCCUGGGGCUCAACCUCAGAACUGCAUUCGAUACUGCUUGGCUAGAGGACUGGAGAGGUGAGUGGAAUUCACGGUGUAGCAGUGAAAUGCGUAGAUAUCGUGAGGAAGACCAGCGGCGAAGGCGGCUCACUGGACAGUUUCUGACGCUGAUGCUCGAAGGCCAGGGGAGCAAACGGGAUUAGAUACCCGGGUAGUCCCUGUCUCUUAUAC
rnacentral:rRNA from 1 species